GGUGAUGUUCUCUGGAUAGUCUUUGACAAGCUUAGUUAUAACUCCGCAGUGCUUUGUUAUAGCUUCUAAAGUUGGUCUCGUGACAAGUUGUUUUGCAUUAGUGUCGUCUGAGCUUGUUUUAUGUUGGUUUCUUAUUUUCUUUUUCGUUAUCUGCUUGAUAUUGAUUCGUUGAAGUGUAUAUCCUUCGAAACAGAUCCAGGGUCUGUGGAAGGUUAAAAAUCAAAACAUCUCUACACUAUUUCAGCAGGCAAAACAACUGAAGGAGCGGUUUCUUUCUUUCCGCAUCAUUCAUGUUCUUCGGGAAUCAAACUGUGACGCUGAUCAGCUGGCGAACUUGGCUGUGGAACUCCCUGAUGGUCAUGUCCAGGAGGAUAUAGAGAAAUGACAGCGCGACAGUAAACAACGAGUCUAAAGUGGUGCGGACGAAGACCUUGUCGCGCUAACCACCAAGGUCUAUCGCGUUGCAGCAUCCUGUUCUCUUGCCUGUAAGUCGAAGACCGCUGAGGGGAACUGUUCCCUCAUUGAUCCGAAUCAUAUCGAGCUGUUGACACAAAGUUAAUUUAAACUUGUAUUAGUAUCGCGAUAUGCAUGUAACAACGAAUUUCAACAACAUACCCGUGUAAUCUCUGCUGAGGGUAUGAUGUACGCAAACUUUACCUCUAUCUUUGUCGGCUAUAGAGUCUUUUCCCGAUCGAUCUUUGGCUCAAAAUGACAAUUCUUAAAUAGACUUUUAACAUUUGUGAUUCUUA